rnacentral:rRNA from 1 species
UACGUAGGGUGCAAGCGUUGUCCGGAAUUAUUGGGCGUAAAGAGCUCGUAGGCGGUUUGUCGCGUCUGCUGUGAAAACCCGAGGCUCAACCUCGGGCCUGCAGUGGGUACGGGCAGACUAGAGUGCGGUAGGGGAGAUUGGAAUUCCUGGUGUAGCGGUGGAAUGCGCAGAUAUCAGGAGGAACACCAAUGGCGAAGGCAGAUCUCUGGGCCGUUACUGACGCUGAGGAGCGAAAGCGUGGGGAGCGAACAGG